GCUUGCUUUGCAGAACAUACACCAAGGUUGGAACGAGACAGAAGAUUGCCAUGGCUCCUCCACAAGGCUGACGUGCAAAUCCAUGAAGUGUUCCAUAUUCUC
rfam:Cuculus canorus isolate BGI_N303 unplaced genomic scaffold scaffold862, whole genome shotgun sequence.